rnacentral:SRP_RNA from 1 species
UGGUGCCUCCGCAACAUGAAACCGUGAACCCGGUCAGGCCCGGAAGGGAGCAGCCGAAGCGGUGGAUGUGUGUGCCGGGGGAUUGCUGG